GACGAACCGUGCGAACGUUAUUCGGAAUUACUGGGCGUAAAGGGCGCGUAGGCGGCCUGUUAAGUCGAACGUGAAAUCCCCGGGCUCAACCCGGGAACUGCGUCCGAUACUGGCAGGCUUGAAUUCGGGAGAGGGAUGCGGAAUUCCAGGUGUAGCGGUGAAAUGCGUAGAUAUCUGGAGGAACACCGGUGGCGAAGGCAGGUCUCUGGGCAUUAACUGACGCUGAGGAGCGAAAAGCAUGGGGAGCGAACAGGG
rnacentral:rRNA from 1 species